UAAAGUUCCAUCUCCAAGCAUUAUGAAAUCAAAAUGAGUCAUUGUUUGACUCUUCUCUCACUUCUCACUUCUCUCACAAUUUCAUUAUGCUUCAGAAGCAUAAUGAAAUCAAAAUGAGUCAUUGUUUGACUCAUCUCUUACUUCUCACUUCUCUCACAAUUUCAUCAUGCUUCAGAAGCAUAAUGAAAUCAAAAUGAGUCAUUGUUUGACUGUUCUUGAUUUCAUAAUGCUUGGAUGUGGAACUUUAUCUGGGAUCCAUUACUUGAACUUCUGCUGGUGUCUACAGUGAAUCAUGAAAAACUCUUCAGGUAAAAAAGAUUAAAGUUUAUGUGCGUAUAUAUUGUAGAAACCCAGGCACAAGACGGUGGAUGGAGACGUUAGUAGGAGACUUAGAACAUUAGCAAUAACAUAAGAUAAUUGAAGUCACCAGCUUGGCCAAGUGGUUAGGUCGCGAGACUUAAGUUUUCGUCUCUCUAUAGAGACGUGAGUGCGAUUCUCACACCUGGUAGCUUUCUUGUCCUUAUUCAUACGUGGUAUUCAUUUAAUAGAGUUGCCUUAAAUCAUAAGAUAAAUAGAAGUUUAUGAUUGAAAUAUGGAACGAGAAAGGUGAGGUUGUUAUCUCCGUAUUCCAUUUGUACACACUGAGCAAGAGAUGACAUGGUCAUGAGCGAGAUGUUACCUUUUUUCAAGCGCAUCUGUGUUUAACAUCUGCAGGAAUAAAAAGCCGGUAAUCACGACAAUAUUGCCGUUGUUACACUGGACUUAGAAGUGCUCGCCAGCUCUGUCACUCCCGUCCAGUUGGGGUACACAUUAUUCCCGAGAAUCGGAAUUGAUCAGUUGGUCACCGUCGGCUGGGGCAACUCAGCAACUACGGUAUCGACCCCGGAUUCUUAUGACACGAAAGUCUUAUUCACACCUAACGUAUCAACUGUAACUUAACUCAUGAAGGGGUUAAUCGAAAUGUCUCCUCAUAAAGUCAUAAUUUGGCUCAAGCGGAUAAACAACGCAUUGAGUUUGAGGAACCAGUUUGCCAUCUUCGAAGACAAGCACCUUUGAUUUGUCAUUUAGGGUGCAUUUUAUCGUCAACUUUAUGGCAACAGGUUACGCCACGAUAAAAAAAAAAUAAUUUUUUUUCACUCAACCUUUUUUUUUUUUUUGUAAUUGCUUCUAUCUAGCGCUCGAUUUUUAACUCGGUUUCCUAAGUCAGAGAAAAUAUUUUAACGGAGUGUCCACGUUGCUCAGUCUCUCCAACUGCAUUCAACUGUUCAUAUUGCUUAGUCUAUCAUAUUGCAAGCCUAUUAAUUGCCUUUAAUUCAGGUAAUUCAUCCACAUUGUCUGGGAAGGCAGUAGUUGGUAAGUCAUUGGCCAUUACAAAAUGGAAAAAUUUUCUUUUUGUAUUAUGCAAUAUGGCAUUGCAGUCCAAGUGUCCAGAUUUGGUGAUUCUAUCCAACAGCAUUCCAUUGUCCACCUUGCUGAGCUUAUCAAGUACAAUCCUGCUUAUUGCCUUGGCAUCAGUUAUUUCAUACACAUUGUCUGAAGGCAGUAGUUGUGUGGCAUUGCAGUCCAAGUGUCCAUAUUUGCUGAGCCUAUCCGACAGCAUUCCGGUGUCCACCUUGCUGAACCUAUCCAACAGCAUUCAAGUGUUCACCAAAGCACUCGAUCGACGUAAAAAAGAUCUCAUAAACAAUAUUCAACGAGAAAAUGUAAUUCCAGAACAAGCACACGAAAUAGAUCGACGUCAAGGACAAGUUCUCAUGUGUAUCGUUCUGCAAUGCAACCGUACUCUAGGAAAACAUCACGAAGCAGAGAAACUUUAAGAAGCUAUCACAAAAAUGGUUCCUCAAGAACAUCUAGAUCAAAAAAUCGCUACUUUAGUACUCGAUCACCAUCAAGAAGUUCUCUUAAAAAUGGUUCACUGAGAAACUCCAGAAACAACUCAAGGAGAAGAUCGACGUCAAGGUCAAGUUCUGACAUGUCUGCUUCCAUAAGACCAUGGUAUUGUAGGGAAAGAUCAUGAACAUCGGGAGAACAUCUAAGUCGAGAAAACGCUACACAAGUGUGAAGAAGUGAGAAUACAAUCUGUAUUGG